AGCAGCCGCGGUAAUUCCAGCUCCAAUAGCGUAUAUUAAAGUUGUUGCAGUUAAAAAGCUCGUAGUUGAAUUUCGGGAUUGGCGCAUCGGUCGUGCCUUACGGGGUAUGAACUGGUGCAGUCAAUUUCUCACCUUCUGGAGAACCGCGAUGUCCUUAAUUGGGUGCCGCGGGGAACCAGGACCUUUACUUUGAAAAAAUUAGAGUGUUUAAAGCAGGCAUUUUUGCUUGAAUACAUUAGCAUGGAAUAAUAAAAUAGGACGGCAUGGUUCUAUUUUGUUGGUUUCUAGGACCACCGUAAUGAUUAAUAGGGAUAGUUGGGGGCAUUAGUAUUCAAUUGUCAGAGGUGAAAUUCUUGGAUUUAUUGAAGACUAACUACUGCGAAAGCAUUUGCCAAGGAUGUUUUCAUUAAUCAAGAACGAAAGUUAGGGGAUCGAAGACGAUCAGAUACCGUCGUAGUCUUAA
rnacentral:rRNA from 1 species